rnacentral:rRNA from 1 species
AUUAAAGGGCCGCGGUAUUUUAACCGUGCAAAGGUAGCAUAAUCAUUAGGUUUUUAAUUAGAAUCUUGUAUGAAUGGUUUGACAAAAGAAAUACUGUCUUUAUGUUAAAAUUUGAAUUUAACUUUUAAGUGAAAAGGCUUAAAUAUAUUAAAGGGACGAUAAGACCCUAUAAAACUUUACAUUGUAAUUUUAUUUAAUUAAAUUUAUAAGAUAAAAAUUUGAUUUAAUUAUAUGUUAUGUUGGGGAGACAGAAGUAAAAAUAAAUUUUAACUGCUUUAUGUUAAAACAUAUAUUUAUGAAAUAUUAAAUGAUCCUUUAUAAAGAUUAAAAGAUUAAGUUACUUUAGGGAUAACAGCGUUAUUUUUUUUGAGAGUUCCUAUCGAAAAGAAAGUUUGCGACCUCGAUGUUGAAUUAAAAUAUCUUUAUAGUGCAGAAGCUAUAAAAGAAGGUCUGUUCGACCUUUAAAUUUUUACAUGAUUUGAGUUCA